rnacentral:rRNA from 1 species
GGGAGAUAGCUGGUUCUCCCCGAAAGCUAUUUAGGUAGCGCCUCGUGAAUUCAUCUCCGGGGGUAGAGCACUGUUUCGGCAAGGGGGUCAUCCCGACUUACCAACCCGAUGCAAACUGCGAAUACCGGAGAAUGUUAUCACGGGAGACACACGGCGGGUGCUAACGUCCGUCGUGAAGAGGGAAACAACCCAGACCGCCAGCUAAGGUCCCAAAGUCAUGGUUAAGUGGGAAACGAUGUGGGAAGGCCCAGACAGCCAGGAUGUUGGCUUAGAAGCAGCCAUCAUUUAAAGAAAGCGUAAUAGCUCACUGGUCGAGUCGGCCUGCGCGGAAGAUGUAACGGGGCUAAACCAUGCACCGAAGCUGCGGCAGCGACGCUUAUGCGUUGUUGGGUAGGGGAGCGUUCUGUAAGCCUGCGAAGGUGUGCUGUGAGGCAUGCUGGAGGUAUCAGAAGUGCGAAUGCUGACAUAAGUAACGAUAAAGCGGGUGAAAAGCCCGCUCGCCGGAAGACCAAGGGUUCCUGUCCAACGUUAAUCGGGGCAGGGUGAGUCGACCCCUAAGGCGAGGCCGAAAGGCGUAGUCGAUGGGAAACAGGUUAAUAUUCCUGUACUUGGUGUUACUGCGAAGGGGGGACGGAGAAGGCUAUGUUGGCCGGGCGACGGUUGUCCCGGUUUAAGCGUGUAGGCUGGUUUUCCAGGCAAAUCCGGAAAAUCAAGGCUGAGGCGUGAUGACGAGGCACUACGGUGCUGAAGCAACAAAUGCCCUGCUUCCAGGAAAAGCCUCUAAGCAUCAGGUAACAUCAAAUCGUACCCCAAACCGACACAGGUGGUCAGGUAGAGAAUACCAAGGCGCUUGAGAGAACUCGGGUGAAGGAACUAGGCAAAAUGGUGCCGUAACUUCGGGAGAAGGCACGCUGAUAUGUAGGUGAAGUCCCUCGCGGAUGGAGCUGAAAUCAGUCGAAGAUACCAGCUGGCUGCAACUGUUUAUUAAAAACACAGCACUGUGCAAACACGAAAGUGGACGUAUACGGUGUGACGCCUGCCCGGUGCCGGAAGGUUAAUUGAUGGGGUUAGCGCAAGCGAAGCUCUUGAUCGAAGCCCCGGUAAACGGCGGCCGUAACUAUAACGGUCCUAAGGUAGCGAAAUUCCUUGUCGGGUAAGUUCCGACCUGCACGAAUGGCGUAAUGAUGGCCAGGCUGUCUCCACCCGAGACUCAGUGAAAUUGAACUCGCUGUGAAGAUGCAGUGUACCCGCGGCAAGACGGAAAGACCCCGUGAACCUUUACUAUAGCUUGACACUGAACAUUGAGCCUUGAUGUGUAGGAUAGGUGGGAGGCUUUGAAGUGUGGACGCCAGUCUGCAUGGAGCCGACCUUGAAAUACCACCCUUUAAUGUUUGAUGUUCUAACGUGGACCCGUAAUCCGGGUUGCGGACAGUGUCUGGUGGGUAGUUUGACUGGGGCGGUCUCCUCCUAAAGAGUAACGGAGGAGCACGAAGGUUGGCUAAUCCUGGUCGGACAUCAGGAGGUUAGUGCAAUGGCAUAAGCCAGCUUGACUGCGAGCGUGACGGCGCGAGCAGGUGCGAAAGCAGGUCAUAGUGAUCCGGUGGUUCUGAAUGGAAGGGCCAUCGCUCAACGGAUAAAAGGUACUC